GGAGAGGUGCGAGAGUGGUUGAAUCGGGCGGUCUCGAAAACCGUUGUUCCUUUUUGGAACCGUGGGUUCGAAUCCCACCCUCUCCG
rnacentral:tRNA from 1 species